UGAAUACGAGACGCUAAGGCGUCGAAGUAGUGUAUGUCAUACUUCCAAGAAAAGCUUGCACUGUCAUAGAUAAAAAACGCCUGUACCAUAACCGACACAGGUGGGUAGGUAGAGUAUACUAAGGGGCGCGAGAUAACUCUCUCUAAGGAACUCGGCAAAAUAACUCCGUAACUUCGGGAGAAGGAGUGCCUUAUUCUUAAGGUUGCAAUAACAAGAUCCAAGCAACUGUUUAUCAAAAACACAGGUCUCCGCUAAGUCGUAAGACGAUGUAUGGGGGCUGACGCCUGCCCAGUGCCAGAAGGUUAAAGAAGCUGGUUAGCAUUUGCGAAGCUAGUAACUGAAGCCCUGGUGAACGGCGGCCGUAACUAUAACGGUCCUAAGGUAGCGAAAUUCCUUGUCGGGUAAGUUCCGACCCGCACGAAAGGCGUAAUGAUUUGGAUACUGUCUCGGAGAGGGGCUCGGUGAAAUAGACUUGUCUGUGAAGAUGCGGACUACCUGCACCAGGACAGAAAGACCCUAUGAAGCUUUACUGUAACUUGAAAUUGAAAUUGGACUUUAUUCGCGCAGUAUAGGUGGGAGGCGUUUAUUAUAAUCUUGCGGGAUUAUUGGAGCCAUUAGUGAGAUACCACUCUUGUAAUGUUAGAUUUCUAACUUUGAAUCAUUAUCUGGUCAAAGAACAGUUUCAGGCGGGCAGUUUGACUGGGGCGGUCGCCUCCUAAACGGUAACGGAGGCGUACAAAGGUUUCCUCUGAACGGUUAGAAAUCGUAUCCAGAGUGUAAAGGCAUAAGGAAGCUUGACUGUGAGACCUACAAGUCGAGCAGGGACGAAAGUCGGUCUUAGUGAUCUGACGGUACUGAGUGGAAAGGCCGUCACUCAACGGAUAAAAGUUACUCUAGGAUAACAGGCUGAUCUCCCCCAAGAGUUCACAUCGACGGGGAGGUUUGGCACCUCGAUGUCGGCUCAUCGCAUCCUGGGGCGGUAGUACGUCCCAAGGGUUGGGCUGUUCGCCCAUGAAAGCGGUACGCGAGCUGGGUUCAGAACGUCGUGAGACAGUUCGGUCCAUAUCCGGUGUAGGCGUUAGAAUAUUGAGAGGAGCCUUCUUUAGUACGAGAGGACCGAGAAGGACAUACCUCUGGUGUACCAGUUAUCGUGCCAACGGUAAACGCUGGGUAGCUAUGUAUAGUGGAUAACCGCUGAAAGCAUCUAAGUGGGAAGCCCACCUCAAGAUAAGUAUUCUCAUC
rnacentral:rRNA from 1 species